GUGGGGAAUAUUGGACAAUGGGCGGAAGCCUGAUCCAGCCAUGCCGCGUGUGUGAAGAAGGCCUUUUGGUUGUAAAGCACUUUAAGCGAGGAGGAGGCUACCGAGAUUAAUACUCUUGGAUAGUGGACGUUACUCGCAGAAUAAGCACCGGCUAACUCUGUGCCAGCAGCCGCGGUAAUACAGAGGGUGCACGCGUUAAUCGGAUUUACUGGGCGUAAAGCGCGCGUAGGUGGCCAAUUAAGUCAAAUGUGAAAUCCCCGAGCUUAACUUGGGAAAUGCAUUCGAUACUGGUUGGCUAGAGUAUGGGAGAGGAUGGUAGAAUUCCAGGUGUAGCGUUGAAAUGCGUAGAGAUCUGGAGGAAUACCGAUGGCGAAGGCAGCCAUCUGGCCUAAUACUGACACUGAGGUGCGAAAGCAUGGGGAGCAAACAGGAUUAGAUACCCGGGUAGUCC
rnacentral:rRNA from 1 species